rnacentral:rRNA from 1 species
GACGAACGCUGGCGGCGUGCUUAACACAUGCAAGUCGAGCGGUAAGGCCCUUUCGGGGGUACACGAGCGGCGAACGGGUGAGUAACACGUGGGUGACCUGCCCUCAGCUCUGGGAUAAGCCUGGGAAACUGGGUCUAAUACUGGAUAUGACUCCACGGUGCAUGUCGUGGGGUGGAAAGCCUUGUGCGGCUGAGGAUGGGCCCGCGGCCUAUCAGCUUGUUGGUGGGGUGANGGCCUACCAAGGCGACGACGGGUAGCCGGCCUGAGAGGGCGACCGGCCACACUGGGACUGAGACACGGCCCAGACUCCUACGGGAGGCAGCAGUGGGGAAUCUUGCGCAAUGGGCGAGAGCCUGACGCAGCGACGCCGCGUGAGGGAUGACGGCCUGGUGUAAC